rnacentral:rRNA from 1 species
GACGAACGCUGGCGGCGUGCCUCAAACAUGCAAGUCGAGCGAGGUGAGACCGAACCGCAAGGUGAGGUUGAACCUAGCGGCGAACGGGUGAGUAACACGUGGGUAACCUGCCUGGAAGAUUGGGAUAACGGCUCGAAAGAGUCGCUAAUACCGGAUAAUGUCCUGGUGCUGCAUGGCACCGGGAAGAAAGGGGAAACCCGCUUUCAGAUGGGCCCGCGCCCCAUCAGCUAGUUGGUAAGGUAACGGCUUACCAAGGCGACGACGGGUAGCCGGUCUGAGAGGACGAUCGGCCACACUGGGACUGAGAUACGGCCCAGACUCCUACGGGAGGCAGCAGUUGGGAAUCUUAGGCAAUGGGCGAAAGCCUGACCUAGCGACGCCGCGUGAGGGAAGAAGGCCUUCGGGUCGUAACCUCUGUCAUGGGGACGAAGAAAGUAGACGGUACCCAGGAGGAAGCCCCUGCUAACUACGUG